rfam:Ictidomys tridecemlineatus contig004367, whole genome shotgun sequence.
GGGGAUAUAGCUCAGUUGGUAGAGUGCUUGGCUUGCAUGCAUAAGGCCCUGGGUUCGAUCCCCAGCAACCCCC